rnacentral:rRNA from 1 species
GACAGAGGUGCCGAGCGUUAGGCGGAAUCACUGGGCUUAAAGCGUGUGUAGGCGGAUCCGUAAGUACCUUGUGAAAUCCCGCGGCUCAACCGUGGAACUGCUCGGUAUACUGCGGAUCUUGAGCCACCUAGGGGCGAGCGGAACAAGUGGUGGAGCGGUGAAAUGCGUAGAUAUCACUUGGAACGCCAAUGGUGAAAACAGCUCGCUGGGGGUGUGCUGACGCUGAGACACGAAAGCCAGGGGAGCAAACGGG